AGUUUAAAAGUUUUUUAAACGUUAAAUUGCAAAUUUAAAAUUUUAAAUAAAUAUUAUUUAAUUAAACUU
rnacentral:tRNA from 1 species